GGCUGGUCUGAUGGCAGUGGGUUAUCAGAACUUAUUAACAUUAGUGUCACUAAAGUUGGUAUACCACCCCCCCCACUGCUAAAUUUGACUGGCUUUUA
ensembl:misc_RNA Y_RNA Y RNA